AGAACGAACGCUGGCGGCAGGCUUAACACAUGCAAGUCGAACGCGUGUAGCAAUACACGAGUGGCGCACGGGUGAGUAACGCGUGGAUAUCUGCCUUUUGGUUCGGAAUAACCCCGGGAAACUGGGGCUAAUACCGGAUGGUUCCUACGGGAUAAAGAUUUAUCGCCAAAAGAUGAGUCCGCGUACGAUUAGCUAGUUGGUGAGGUAAUGGCUCACCAAGGCGACGAUCGUUAGCUGGUCUGAGAGGACGAUCAGCCACACUGGGACUGAGACACGGCCCAGACUCCUACGGGAGGCAGCAGUGGGGAAUAUUGGACAAUGGGGGCAACCCUGAUCCAGCCAUGCCGCGUGAGUGAUGAAGGCCUUCGGGUUGUAAAGCUCUUUUGGCGGGGACGAUGAUGACGGUACCCGCAGAAUAAGCCCGGCUAACUUCGUGCCAGCAGCCGC
rnacentral:rRNA from 1 species